AAGCUCGUAGUUGAAUUUCGGGAUCAGUAGGUUGGUCAUGCCAAGGGUAUGUACUGGCUUUACUGAUUCCUCCUUCUUGAUGAUCUGUAAUGUCAUUAAUUUGGUGUUGCAGGGAGUCAGGACUGUUACUUUGAAAAAAUUAGAGUGUUUAAAGCAGGCAUACGCUUGAAUACAUUAGCAUGGAAUAAUGAAAUAGGACGUUCGAUCCUAUUUUGUUGGUUUCUAGGAUUGACGUAAUGAUUAAUAAGGAUAGUUGGGGGCAUUAGUAUUCAAUUGUCAGAGGUGAAAUUCUUGGAUUUAUUGAAGACUAACUACUGCGAAAGCAUUUGCCAGGGAUGUUUUCAUUAAUCAAGAACGAAAGUUAGGGGAUCGAAGACGAUCAGAUACCGUCGUAGUCUUAACCAUAAACUAUGCCGACUAGGGAUCGGAUGAUGUUAAUUUUUUAAUGACUCAUUCGGCGCCUUACGGGAAACCAAAGUGUUUGGGUUCCGGGGGGAGUAUGGUCGCAAGGCUGAAACUUAAAGGAAUUGACGGAAGGGCACCACCAGGGGUGGAGCCUGCGGCUUAAUUUGGCUCAACACGGGGAAA
rnacentral:rRNA from 1 species